rnacentral:lncRNA from 1 species
AUGCCCUUGUCACUGGGCCUGUGGGGACCUGCCCUUCCUUCCUGCUCUUGGCCCUGUGAUGUUGACAGCUGUACUGGGAAAUCACAUGCUGGCUGCUGCCACAAUUACCAGACACAGACUGUAAGUGCCUCCCUGGACGUCCUGCCACCCUGUCUCAUGCCGGCCCCUACACAGGUGCUCAGGCCACGGCUUUGCUCCAUCUGUUUUACUUCUGUGUGGUAUGAAAAAGCCCAAAGUUUGUUGAAGAAGGAGAAAUGCGCCGAGAGAAUAAAAACAAUGAUGAUCAGAACAAUAAAAAUCAAUAAGCAACAUUUUCAAUGUGUUUUGCAAUCACCAAACACCAGACUCACUGCCUGGCCUCCAGUGUCUUGGAAGACGAGUUCUGUGACUCACUGUAAACCACACGAUAGGACUCAACUCCCAGACUCUGGCUUCAAACUCUAUCUUCUAAAAAUGCCUUCUAAAGAAAAGAUUUCUGUCUCAUCAGUCAGCUCAUCUGGCAUUUGAAAACCUCAAGCAGAAAUUCCCCAGGUCAGCAUUAUGCAUUCUCCAAGACCAAGCUUCUUCAAACAGAAACCAAAAACAAUGAAAACUAAAUACCAAUGGCUUCUGGCUUCUCUUCAGCGAUAACAAGUCUUCAUUCUUUUUCUCUGUUCCAUGUGAAAAGUUAUACCCCCAAAGGGGAGCUGUGGGCUUUCCAAUGGUGGAGCAGAGAUGGGGGCUUAGGGAACGAAACCUUCAGAAAUAACCUUCUCCUUCCUCCCUCUACCCACAUUGAGAACAUAUUCAUUUCACUGAAUUUAAAGUCAAUGAGACCAUAAAGGACCAGUUCUGUAUUUUGUUUUCUUAUGCUGCUGCUUCUAGAGCAAAACUAAAUAAGUGACACAUCAACCCUUUAAGGAUCUUGUUUCCAACGAGAGAACCGAGGAUACACGUUCUGAGGACAUUGGUUUAUUCAAGAUGAUGUGACAACUUUAGAAAAAAAAAAUCCCCUUAAUAAAAGAGGUUUAUAGGCCAAAUGGACUUCCCUUUCUGGUCUAAAUGUCAUGUUUGUGAAAGUGGUGUGGUAUAAAUAGCAAAGUGGGGAAACGAGAAAUUAUCCCUCCGCUGAAUAAAUCAGACUCUUAGCUGACCCUCCCUCACAAGGCUGGUGCUUUCUAAGCUCUCAGGUUUCCACUCAAACAUCACCUCUCAGGAGUCACCUUCUAAAAUCGCUCCUCCACUACUUUUUAUCCCCUUACCCUCCUCUUUAUUUGAGUAAUAGUAUUAUCACUAGCUGGCAUUUUAUUUUUGUUUACUUGUUUAUUAUCUGUUUCCUUCUACUAGAAGAUAAGCUCUUUAUGUGAAUGUGUCUCCGUUAUUGCUGUUUUCCUGGAAAUCGGCUUCCUAAAUUCAACUCCCUAAAUAAACAUUUAGGACGCCACUUAUAAAUAAAACAAUUCUGUUUUCUCUACACAUGCUGGAGAAACUGUAGGAUCUGGAGAUACCAUUAAAGAUAAACAGGAGACCAAAGUUAGUUCAUUGAGAAGGAUUUUCCACUUCAGACACUACAAAGAGGGGUCUCCUCACUCAGAAUUUUUCUGUUUUCUCAGCAUCGCAAGCAAAACACAGUAUUUGGGUAAGAAAAAAAAAAAA